rnacentral:rRNA from 1 species
AGAGUUUGAUCCUGGCUCAGGACGAACGCUGGCGGCGCGCCUAACACAUGCAAGUCGAGCGGAGUUGGAAUUUCGGUUUUAACUUAGCGGCGGACGGGUGAGUAACGCGUGAGCAACCUGCCCUUCAGCGGGGGAUAGCGUCUGGAAACGGACGGUAAUACCGCAUAAUGUGCGGAGAAGACAUCUUCACUGCACCAAAGGAUUUAUCCACUGAAGGAUGGGCUCGCGUCCGAUUAGGUAGUUGGCGGGGUAACGGCCCACCAAGCCCGCGAUCGGUAGCCGGACUGAGAGGUUGAUCGGCCACAUUGGGACUGAGACACGGCCCAGACUCCUACGGGAGGCAGCAGUGGGGGAUAUUGCACAAUGGAGGAAACUCUGAUGCAGCGACGCCGCGUGAGGGAAGAAGGUCUUCGGAUUGUAAACCUCUGUCUUUAGGGACGAAGAAAGUGACGGUACCUAAAGAGGAAGCCACGGCUAACUACGUGCCAGCAGCCGCGGUAAUACGUAGGUGGCGAGCGUUGUCCGGAUUUACUGGGUGUAAAGGGUGCGUAGGCGGGUUAUCAAGUUGGGUGUGAAACCUCCGUGCUUAACACGGAGCCUGCAUUCAAAACUGGUAAUCUUGAGUGAGGUAGAGGUAGAUGGAAUUCCCGGUGUAGCGGUGAAAUGCGUAGAGAUCGGGAGGAACACCAGUGGCGAAGGCGGUCUACUGGGCCUUAACUGACGCUGAGGCACGAAAGCAUGGGUAGCAAACAGGAUUAGACACCCUGGUAGUCCAUGCUGUAAACGAUGAUUGGCUAGGUGUGGGUUGGACUGACCCC